GUUACUAAAUAUGGGAGGUGCUCGGCGAUGCAGUACGGAGCUCAGUUUGGCCUCUGCAUUCCUCUGGAUGCUCCGCAAUUGUGUCACAUCCUCCAUAAUUUGGCUUUAAUGUAGGAACGAACAGAUGGAGACAGAUCCACAGUCCCCUCUCCGAUUUCAUCGUGGGGGACAACAAAACGGAGGAGAAUAUUGUGGUGUGCUUACUACAUUACUAUACUGAGUAUCACAUUGGAUGCAACAGUCAGGCUGGGCAAGAUUAAACUUGUUGGACAAUCUUUCAAAAUCGAAUUGCUCAACCAUCCAUGAUUCAAAAUGACAUGAGUGAGGUUUUAACUUGUAGUGAAUUAAAAGAUACAGGACAGCUACCUAACUUCCUCCUUGCAAUACGAUAUACAAUACAAUAUAAAAAGUAUGAUCAUGUUGCCAUUUUCAGGAUUUGUUUUUCUUCCAGAAACUAUGAGUGUACAUAUUUGACCAUUAGUCAUUCAGUCAUUAGUCUCUAUCAGCAACAGUUUCAUUUAAUUAUAGUUGACAGGAAAUUAUAGUUGACAGGAAAUGACAAGGCAUGUCUACACGUCUAUUCCAUUAUGUUGGCUAAUCGUUGCUUAAUCUUGUGUCUUAAAUAAUUAUCUGCACUAGUUUGAGCUAGUUCAGAAUCUGCAGACUGGAACCUGACUAAACCAAUAGUUGAAACAAGGUUAAAUGAAAUCCCCCCGGCCAUUAGUAUUGUUUUAGCAAAGAUUAUUUCCUGCUAGUGACAGACAUGCAGCAGCGUUUUCCUUUUUCAGUUUUUGUUUCAAUACAAUGGACCUCUUCAACAUAGGGGGGGGGGGGGGUGUCUAGAUGAUUCACUGUUUUGUUUACACUGGAAUUAUUUAAGUUUUCCUCAGAGAGGAAUAUUUUCAGUGAUGAAAUGACAGACAUGUGUUACACACAGUCAGAAAGCCUAUCCUAUCAGGCCCAGUAAUCCUCCUGCAACAUUCCUAGGAUUAGAUAACUGCCCAGCCCUUGGUUCAUUUACUGGCACCCUCUAUAUUAGCACCAGCCCUGGAUGUCUGUCUAUGGUCUCCUCCACAGUAGGCUCAGACAGGACAGGAGCUGUAAUCAGAGAGAAAUCUUUGAUUUCGUUUAUUCUUUCCAUCAGAAAUCAAAAAAGAGAUGGAGCUACUGAGGCCUGCACUUCUUAUUGUCUUUAUCUCAACAGCAAUCGCAAAACCAUUCAACAGGCCUGGACACCACAAUGGUCCACAGUUCAACAGGCCUGGACACCAUAAUGGUCCACAGUUCAACAGGCCUGGACACCACAAUGGUCCACAGUUCAACAGGCCUGGACACCACAAUGUUCCACAGUUCAACAGGCCUGGACACCACAAUGUUCCACAGUUCAACAGGCCUGGACACCACAAUGUUCCACGAAUCCACGAGUCCUCAGAAUCUGAUGAAUCAAGAAUGACACCAGGACCAACUGCUCCAACCACAGUGAACCCUCCCACUCCUGCCAUGUCAACUAUCCCACCAGUGACAGAAAUGUCCACGAAUGGGCCAAUUGUCAGUGAAAUGACACUGUCACCAGGGAACGUUACUGCACGUGUCACUGAGGACAUUACAACUCCCACUCCAGCAACUCCCCCUUCACCAACUAGAGGAGACAACUAAUAAUGAGAGAAUUCAUGAGAAUGCUUUAUUAUAAUUAUUCAAGAGUUUAUAAAUCAUUGCUUUUUUUAGGUCAUAAUUUUUUGUAUGGACUGUUUACAGUACCUGCAUUAUAUGAAAUAUCUUUCUUGGCAUUUUAUUUUUGUUUUUUAUGCAGCAGCAUUUCUAGGCAAUGUUAUCGAUAGCUUCAUAAUAACCCUAUCAGAAGCCCUGUAAUCUUUACUAGUUCAACAUAUGGUGGUAGUUACGGGUGUUUGGAUGUCUGUGAACUAGGUGAUCAUAAUCUGCUGGGUUUGAUAUAAACAAUUGUGAAUGUUUGAUUGUUUCAUUGAUAUUACUGUGUUAUGCUCCAGUAUGUCUCUCUACACACAGUAUGUAGUGACUUGCUCUUUGGAGUUUUAGGCUGGUUAUCUGUAAAGUACAUUGAGACAACUGCUGAUUUACAAAGGGCUUAAUAACAUACAUUUGAUUGAUUGAUUGAUAUUUGUUGUGAACUUGUGUACUCAAUAAAGAGAUAGAAAAAUACUUAAAUUGAGAAAA